UACGUAGGGUGCGAGCGUUAAUCGGAAUUACUGGGCGUAAAGCGUGCGCAGGCGGUUGUGCAAGACAGAUGUGAAAUCCCCGGGCUUAACCUGGGAACCGCAUUUGUGACUGCACGGCUAGAGUACGGCAGAGGGGGAUGGAAUUCCGCGUGUAGCAGUGAAAUGCGUAGAUAUGCGGAGGAACACCGAUGGCGAAGGCAGUCCCCUGGGCCUGUACUGACGCUCAUGCACGAAAGCGUGGGGAGCAAACAGG
rnacentral:rRNA from 1 species